AGGCGGCAGCAGUAGCGCCCGGCGCUUCGCCGGCUGCGCUUCCAAAUAUCGGCCGGUACCCGGGCAGCCGCCACCGCUGCCCGGGGCGGGGGCCCGGCGGCGCCCAGCUGGUCCAGCCUCCCGCGGGAGCGACAACGCAGCGGCUCUCCCCGAGCAUCCCCGCGAGGCUUUUGUGCGUGCCCGGGGCGGCUCCCCUCCCGAGGAGGUCGGCGGCGGGCGCGUAGCCCCGUGGUAGCAUCCUCUCGGAGGCGGAAGGGGGAGCGGGGCACAGACGCGCCGAGGGGCUGCGGCGGACAAAGCAAGGAGGCAGGCGGGGACCCCUUCCAUUCCAUGCCCUUCUCCUUCUCUCCCUUUCCCGCAGCUCCACUGUCGGUGGUGCCCGCGCCGCCGCCAGCCCCGCAUCCCGCGGCGGAGGUAGGGCCCGGCGCUGCCCCGAGCCCUUCCCCGCGGCUCCCCUACCUGUUCGGAAGAAAGCAUCCACCUCGGAGUCGGGGACAGCGCCUUCCUCUGCCGCUCCUUCGGUGGGAUUCAUGGCUGGGAGAGAGGCAGCGGCGAGCCCGGCGGCUGGUAAUAUCCAAAAGAAAAAACAACUGUUGGAGUUAUCACCCCUCUGACUGUAUUACCAUUGGAUAACCCAUCCUUGCUUCAAAAUUGUAUCUCCCACUCUGAAGAAGAAAAGUCUUUCAGCCAGGAAGUCCUUGUGCCCUCAGUGCCAUUACCCUGCAGGAGUAAUGCCCAAUCGCCAGUCCUUGGCCGCUGAAACAACUGUGAUGCUUAAGUGACUCUAUAGGUGCACAGGAGGAAGUCAGCUAUAGAAGAUGAGGACAAAAUAUCUCUGGGAACCUGGUCGCCACACAGGGACUGGAGCACUUCAAAAGAGCUAAGUAUCAGUCCAGUAGUGCAUCUCAAGAAAGAAAAUACUCUGAAUAGCAGAAAUCUCAGAGCCAGCUGGUAGUAAGUGAUACUGUUUGGCUCAGAUCUCAAUCUGUCGGGUAGGAUAGCAGCUGAGGCUGGCAGAACCUUUCCUGUUUCAGCCUAGAAUAUUUUAGACAACAAAAGAACAUAGGUUUCCUCCAUCUGAUCUCUUCUCAAGAGAGCAUAGAGGAAGGCUGGAUUUGGAUGUGUGCUCACAGACUAGAUAUAUUGCACUUGAUAGAAAGGCUGAAAAUUUCCCUGCAGAAACUUAACUGUCAAACUGGCAUUGACCAGGCAGGAUGAGCACAGAGAUCCCAGUCGCAUCUUCUCUGACCUUACUGUUUGCUACUGGAAUUGAAACAGAAUUGAGAAGCUAAUCGUAUGUCAUGCCUGGGGACUGCAGAAAUAAGGGCAAACAUCUGAUUGAGCUCUAUCUAGCAUUUAGUUUCCCUUUGAUUGCCUUAGUCCCUCUCUUCUGAUCUCCAAUCUACUGCCCAUUUCCCAAGCCUGACACCAGCUGGCUUUAACUGAAGCCAUUUAGCUUGUUAUGUUUAUGGAUUAAAAGGGUCAUUUCACAAUUGUCUGCAGAAAAUAUCAACAUAAAAGCCAUGUCCAGGCUGCCGAAGCUCAUUGCAGACCUCUGUGCUGCCUCUGAGCCUAGCUCCUUAGGACAACCAGGAUGCCAGGAUCACCGCAGGAAUGCCAGCAGUGGGGCAUCACCACAGCACAAUGACCUGAACAACUUAGAACAAGAAUGGUCCCAGAUCUCUCAUACUUUGAAACAAAUGGGAAUUUCAACUUUUAAGUGUUUGGAGUUUUUUAAUCCAGUUUCAUUAAAGUGUAUCAAGACUUAGCCAUGUAUUUUUGUUGCUCAUCUCUGCUGUGCAAGGCACAGCAAGUUUGUUCUUCUGUGCUUGCAGCUCCACUGGCCAGUGAAGCCCUGCACAAUAAAUUCACUGUUUUCGUGGCA